AGAACGAACGCUGGCGGCAGGCCUCAAACAUGCAAGUCUAGGGGGUGUAGCAAUACAUCACCGGCGGACGGGUGCGUAACACGUGGGAAUAUACCUUUUGGUUCGGAACAACGCAGGGAAACUUGCGCUAAUACCGAAUGUGCCCUUACGGGGAAAGAUUUAUCGCCAAAGGAUUAGCCCGCGUAGGAUUAGCUAGUUGGUGAGGUAAUGGCUCACCAAGGCUCCGAUCCUUAGCUGUUCUGAGAGGAAGAUCAGCCACACUGGGACUGAGACACGGCCCAGACUCCUACGGGAGGCAGCAGUUGGGAAUCUUGGACAAUGGGGGAAACCCUGAUCCAGCCAUGCCGCGUGAGUGAUGAAGGCCUUCGGGUUGUAAAACUCUUUCGACGGGGACGAUAAUGACGGUACCCGUAGAAGAAGCUCCGGCUAACUUCGCGCCAGCAGCCGC
rnacentral:rRNA from 1 species